CUCUCUGUCUCUCUCUCUCUCUGUCUCUCUAAGACACACACUCUCUCUCUCUCUUGACUACCGAGGGCUGUUUUGCGGUAGGUGAUGGUUGCAGGUUCGGCGAAGCUCAGGGAACUGACAUCGAACUACUAUGAUUCUCAAUUCUUCCAAUUUUCAUGCAAAACUAGAACCAAUUUAGUUUGUAUAACUGGGAAUGUCACCUAAUUAGCUUCUACCUGGAAUUGCCCUGGGCAAUAAUCUAGAGCUUUUCAUUUUGAUGAUGAGAGACUGCUAUCAGAAGCAAUUGACUUUUUAGAUCCUGGAUCACUUGCAUUAUGUACCACAGGAUGAUAAGGAACAUGCUCUAUCACAAUUGGAGAAGAAAAAUCCAUGUUGAUAUUUGAGGAGGAUGUUCCUCCCAGAGCCUUAAUACUUUGGAUAGAUGGAUCUAUAACAUGGAAGGUUCAGAUUCCCUAGCAAAACUUCGAGUAGGUAUCAUAAUUUGAGUGCAAUCCAAAUUUGAAGUAGGAGGAAUUGUGAUCUCUAAUCUUUUAGUUUGGCUCUGAUCAUUUGUACUGGCAAAUCCAUUUGUGGAGUAACCCAUCCAAAUAUUUUAAGCCUGAACUUCAUCACUCUUGUGCUGUGUUUGUCCACGGAUUUGACUAGGAUUGCCUCUUACUUUGUCUAAUUAUCUCACUUUUUAAUAAGCAUAUGAUAAUUCUUAAUUUGUUUUUAUUUAUGGAAAUAUAAGUUAAGGUUAUUUCA